GCUGGCAGGGCCACAACUAGCGCAGACUGGUGCGCCCCAGGCAUCUCUGGGUGAGUAUCUCUUUGAGCGCCUCACUCAAGCACCACUAGGAGACCUCUGCGCCUUCC
rnacentral:pre_miRNA from 14 species